AAUGGGGCGUAAGCCUGAUGCAGCAACGCCGCGUGAGGGAUGACGGCCUUCGGGUUGUAAACCUCUUUUAGCAGGGAAGAAGCGAAAGUGACGGUACCUGCAGAAAAAGCGCCGGCUAACUACGUGCCAGCAGCCGCGGUAAUACGUAGGGCGCAAGCGUUAUCCGGAAUUAUUGGGCGUAAAGAGCUCGUAGGCGGUUUGUCGCGUCUGCUGUGAAAUCCCGAGGCUCAACCUCGGGCCUGCAGUGGGUACGGGCAGACUAGAGUGCGGUAGGGGAGAUUGGAAUUCCUGGUGUAGCGGUGGAAUGCGCAGAUAUCAGGAGGAACACCGAUGGCGAAGGCAGAUCUCUGGGCCGUAACUGACGCUGAGGAGCGAAAGGGUGGGGAGCAAACAGGGUUAGAUACCCUGGUAGUCCACCCCGUAAACGUUGGGAACUAGUUGUGGGGUCCAUUCCACGGAUUCCGUGACGCAGCUAACGCAUUAAGUUCCCCGCCUGGGGAGUACGGCCG
rnacentral:rRNA from 1 species